UAGCAUUGCCGCGUCCAACCUUGAUUUUCCUGCCAAUUUAUGGAACACCACAAUAAAAAUGUUCCAGUUCGGUUCUCUGUUAUUCAGUUUUGGAGGUGUUUUUGGUUGGCAUAAGCGGUUCUUCGCUGGAAAAUGCUAACGUGCUGAUGAUGAUAGAUUAAUUAUGGUGAGCGGAAAAAAGUAGUGCAUUAUUAUAUUCUCUGUUUCUUUGCUUUCUAUUCAACUGUCUAUGAGGAAUGGCAGACAAGAAAGAAAAAGAAAGGGAUUAAACCUAACGAUUAACCUUCAUUGACCCGGAAAGCUAAACGACCUCUUCCUGUUGUCAUAUCGCUGGUGAUUAGAUUGAUUUCUGUCGAAUAUAGAAGAUGUGGUGCUAUUUCUGUAUCGGAAUCUUCGGCGGAGAUUUCCUCUAGUGUUAUCGAAUGUAGAGCCAACUAGUUGGAUCCAAAUCACUCCCUGCUUUAACUUUUUGGAGCUCCUGCUUUUCGCAUUAUUUUGACUUGACAAUUU